ACCUUUGUUGGCUCAAUGGCUUAGUGCUUAUAAGUUAGACUUGUGAUCAAGGGGUGCCGGGUUCGAAUCCUGGCUAGUGGCG